rnacentral:rRNA from 1 species
ACUGCUCAGUAACACGUGGACAACCUGCCCUUAGGUUGGGUAUAAACCCGGGAAACUGGGUAUAAUACCCGAUAGGUCUCGAUUGCUGGAAUGCAUCGAGAUUUAAAGCUCCGGCGCCUAAGGAUGGUCUGCGGCCUAUCAGGUAGUAGUGGGUGUAGCGUACCUACUAGCCUACGACGGGUACGGGUUGUGAGAGCAAGAGCCCGGAGAUGGAUUCUGAGACACGAAUCCAGGCCCUACGGGGUGCAGCAGGCGCGAAAACUUUACAAUGCUGGCAACAGCGAUAAGGGAACCUCGAGUGCCAGGUUACAAAUCUGGCUGUCGAGAUGCCUAAAAAGCAUUUCAUAGCAAGGGCCGGGCAAGACCGGUGCCAGCCGCCGCGGUAACACCGGCGGCUCGAGUGGUAACCGUUAUUAUUGGGUCUAAAGGGUCUGUAGCCGGCCGGAUAAGUCUCUUGAGAAAUCUGGCAGCUUAACUGUCAGGCUUUCAGGAGAUACUGUCUGGCUCGAGGCCGGGAGAGGUGAGAGGUACUUCAGGGGUAGGGGUGAAAUCUUGUAAUCCUUGAAGGACCACCAGUGGCGAAGGCGUCUCACCAGAACGGACCUGACGGCAAGGGACGAAAGCUAGGGGCACGAACCGGAUUAGAUACCCGGGUAGUCCUAGCCGUAAACGAUACUCGCUAGGUGUCGGCCACGGUGCGACCGUUGUCGGUGCCGUAGGGAAGCCGUGAAGCGAGCCACCUGGGAAGUACGGCCGCAAGGCUGAAACUUAAAGGAAUUGGCGGGGGAGCAC